rnacentral:rRNA from 1 species
CCUACCCUUGACAUGUACGGAACCUUGCUGAGAGGUGAGGGUGCCCGAAAGGGAGCCGUAACACAGGUGCUGCAUGGCUGUCGUCAGCUCGUGUCGUGAGAUGUUGGGUUAAGUCCCGCAACGAGCGCAACCCUUGUCCCUAGUUGCUACGCAAGAGCACUCUAGGGAGACUGCCGGUGACAAACCGGAGGAAGGUGGGGAUGACGUCAAGUCCUCAUGGCCCUUAUGGGUAGGGCUUCACACGUCAUACAAUGGUCGGAACAGAGGGUUGCCAAGCCGCGAGGUGGAGCCAAUCCCAGAAAUCCUUCUAGUCCGGAUCGCAGUCUGCAACUCGACUGCGUGAAGCUGGAAUCGCUAGUAAUCGCG